CUAUCUACAGGCUUAACACAUGCAAGUCGAGGGGCAGCAUUUUAGUUUGCUUGCAAACUGAAGAUGGCGACCGGCGCACGGGUGAGUAACACGUAUCCAACCUGCCGAUAACUCCGGAAUAGCCUUUCGAAAGAAAGAUUAAUACCGGAUAGCAUACGAAUAUCGCAUGAUAUUUUUAUUAAAGAAUUUCGGUUAUCGAUGGGGAUGCGUUCCAUUAGUUUGUUGGCGGGGUAACGGCCCACCAAGACUACGAUGGAUAGGGGUUCUGAGAGGAAGGUCCCCCACAUUGGAACUGAGACACGGUCCAAACUCCUACGGGAGGCAGCAGUGAGGAAUAUUGGUCAAUGGGCGAGAGCCUGAACCAGCCAAGUAGCGUGAAGGAUGAAGGCUCUAUGGGUCGUAAACUUCUUUUAUAUGGGAAUAAAGUUUUCCACGUGUGGAAUUUUGUAUGUACCAUAUGAAUAAGGAUCGGCUAACUCCGUGCCAGCAGCCGCGGUAAUACGGAGGAUCCGAGCGUUAUCCGGAUUUAUUGGGUUUAAAGGGAGCGUAGGUGGAUUGUUAAGUCAGUUGUGAAAGUUUGCGGCUCAACCGUAAAAUUGCAGUUGAAACUGGCAGUCUUGAGUACAGUAGAGGUGGGCGGAAUUCGUGGCGUAGCGGUGAAAUGCUUAGAUAUCACGAAGAACUCCGAUUGCGAAGGCAGCUCACUAGACUGUCACUGACACUGAUGCUCGAAAGUGUGGGUAUCAAACAGGAUUAGAUACCCUGGUAGUCCACACAGUAAACGAUGAAUACUCGCUGUUUGCGAUAUACAGUAAGCGGCCAAGCGAAAGCAUUAAGUAUUCCACCUGGGGAGUACGCCGGCAACGGUGAAACUCAAAGGAAUUGACGGGGGCCCGCACAAGCGGAGGAACAUGUGGUUUAAUUCGAUGAUACGCGAGGAACCUUACCCGGGCUUAAAUUGCAACAGAAUAUAUUGGAAACAGUAUAGCCGUAAGGCUGUUGUGAAGGUGCUGCAUGGUUGUCGUCAGCUCGUGCCGUGAGGUGUCGGCUUAAGUGCCAUAACGAGCGCAACCCUUAUCUUUAGUUACUAACAGGUCAUGCUGAGGACUCUAGAGAGACUGCCGUCGUAAGAUGUGAGGAAGGUGGGGAUGACGUCAAAUCAGCACGGCCCUUACGUCCGGGGCUACACACGUGUUACAAUGGGGGGUACAGAAGGCGGCUACCUGGUGACAGGAUGCUAAUCCCAAAAACCUCUCUCAGUUCGGAUCGAAGUCUGCAACCCGACUUCGUGAAGCUGGAUUCGCUAGUAAUCGCGCAUCAGCCAUGGCGCGGUGAAUACGUUCCCGGGCCUUGUACACACCGCCCGUCAAGCCAUGAAAGCCGGGGGUACCUGAAGUACGUAACCGCAAGGAGCGUCCUAGGGUAAAACUGGUAAUUGGGGCUAAG
rnacentral:rRNA from 1 species